rnacentral:rRNA from 1 species
UACGUAGGGGGCUAGCGUUGUCCGGAAUCAUUGGGCGUAAAGCGCGUGUAGGCGGUCCGGUAAGUCCGCUGUGAAAGUCGGGGGCUCAACCCUCGGAUGCCGGUGGAUACUGUCGGGCUUGAGUACGGAAGAGGCGAGUGGAAUUCCUGGUGUAGCGGUGAAAUGCGCAGAUAUCAGGAGGAACACCAAUUGCGAAGGCAGCUCGCUGGGACGUUACUGACGCUGAUGCGCGAAAGCCAGGGGAGCAAACGGG